GCUUCUUUUAAAUACUGCCUGGGAUGGUGACUCCACUACUUCCUUGAGCAGCCUGUUGCAAUGCUUGACAAGUCUCUCUGUGAAGAAAGUUUUCCAAAUAUCUAAUCUAAACCUCUCCUGGUGCAACUUGAGGCUGUUUCUUCUCAUCCUGUUAUUACCUGUGAGAAGAGACCAUUCCCCACCUUGCUACAGCCUCCUUUCAGGCAGUGUAGACAGCCAUGAAUAUUCCCCUCAGCCUCCUUUCCAGGCUAAACAGCCCCAGCCCACUCAGCUGCUCCUCAUAAAAUUUGUGCACCAGACCUUUCACCAGCUUUAUUGCUCUUUGGAUGCUCUUCAGCACCUGUUAUAUGUUAUGCCCAUCUCAACUAUAAAUUCCUAACUCAUUAAAUUCUAGGUCAGGGAAAGUAUUGCAGAUCACAUAUUUGUCCUUUUUAUCUUAUGGUGACAGUUUCAUGCUUUCAGUUUUUUUGGAAAGAGCAUUUUGACAGUUUCCUGUCUUGGGAAUGUUGCCUUACACCAUUUAAAAGCUGUGUCUUUAAAUAUUUUUAGAAACAGGUCAACAGAUUUGUGAUGCUUCUUCAGAAAAAUUAUAGAUGGAUGAUGUGUAUUGUGUGAAACCCAAAGAAGAUAGGACGACCAUGGAAACCUUUUGGCAAUAUCCAGCCUGGAAACUUGUGCUUUAAUGUGAAGGUUUAUAAUUGUUCCACAAAGAAAAGUAAGCUCUUUGUCGUCAUAAACACAUUAAGAAAAGCAUGCCUGGGAUCAAGUGCUGUUUUCCAGUUAAAGGUUUCAAGAGUUAUCUCCUUUCCAGAUCUGAAUGGGAUUCUUCUGCAUCAGAACAGUUGGUAACUUAUUCUUGUGAGAUGAAGAAAGUCAUGUUGCAGUUCCUUUGAGAAGUUUAAGGACUUCAUCUAUUUAAAUGCAUGUCACCAGGUAUCCUAUCAUAUUGCCAAAAUUUGAGACUUGGACUGUGUUGUGCAGUAUUAGUGGUAGAUACAUUGAAUGGAGUGGGCAGUGUUAGGACUCUCUGGCACUGUGUUAAAAAUAGUAUUUUGAGAUAAAUUAUUUGUUGCACUGUAGGAAUGAGCAUAAUGGGUUAGUGCUAACAUCCAUCUUGCCCAGUACUUUGAUCCUGACAGCUGUACAGAGGAACUAAUUUUGGAGCGGGUGCCAUAGUCUCCAUUCUGUGUUGGCAAGAAGCCUAUUCUUGGUCUUCUAAAGAUUUUUACUCUGAACUGUAAAGCUUGGUAAAAAAAAUUCUUAUUCCUAUGGUUGUGUUAUGAAAACUUCUGUUCCACCUUUACAUAUUUGUAGACUUGUUUCAGCGACUUCCUAUGUGUGAAUUUUACUGACACUGUAUGAUUAUAUUUUUUUACUUAAAAAGAAAUUAUUUUGUCUUUUUCUUGACAGGAGGGACAGCUGUUCCUGCUCAGCCCUUUCAGUAUCAUUGUUUUAUUUCUCUUCAGUUAAUCUAAAUAUCUGGUGAGCUGUACUGUUUGCAAAGAGUAAAGAGGUUCUGUGUCUGGUUGAUUAUGAUGACACACACUGUGGGAAAAGCUGAGUGUAGCUAACUUCAUCUUGUGUUGCAUAGGCAGCUGAGGACAAGAGGCCAUUUCAGAAAGUCAGUCUACAGAUAUUAUUUAAGCACUUAUUUUUUGCAUACCCUUUGUAAAGGAAAUUUUGGUAAUAGCUGGCUGUUUGUCUUUGAAUCAGAGCGCUGACAUUCAGUCUUGUCAGUGAAAAUUCUCAGACUGUGUAUGAAGAUCUUAUGUAUGUGGCUGAAAUGGUAGCACCUCUGUACAAAUGAUUUGGGUUUAGGGCCAGUUGUUUCCCACAAGGGAAAAAAGAUAUUGUAAUUGUUUUGGUAAACCAGUGUGCUUUUACUUUGUCCUCUUUCACUUCUGCAGACAGUUACCUGAACUACUUUUCAUAGGACUGUUCAGCAGAAAGCAGAAGUCACCUAAUUGAUACUUAAAGCUGUUGGACCUCUGUAAGAAAUGUAGUUUGGUUCUCCUGUGCAGUGUUUACAUUUUUGUGUGUUUGUUGUGGUUUGGGAGGGGUUUGUUUUUCUAAAUGCAAAGCAAGUGCUUUGCUUCCAUGCAGUUGGAGAAACUGUGCUAAACUUAUACUUUACUCUUUCUUGUCAGGUUUUCUGUCGCUGUGCUAACUUGGAGAGAUGACCAUUUGCUGUGAGUUGAUGAUGUUUAUGCUCUCUCUUAUGGAUCUCUCCUCCUUUUCCUUCUAUGAAGCAGGAAGGAACACACUGUGCAAGAUUUUCUCCUUGCAGUUAAUAGUACCAAGCACUAAUUUUGUUGAGAAAAAUGAUAUUUAAAACAUUCUAGAAUAAAAAAGGA
rnacentral:lncRNA from 1 species